GGAGGUGUGGCUUAAGUGGCAGAGCACCUGCCUAGCAAGUACAAGAUCCUGAGUUCAACCUCAAUACCUUUG
rnacentral:tRNA from 1 species